GCCCGCUCAAGAAACUCAAAGGAAUUGGACGGGGCCCGCACAAGCGGUGGAGUAUGUGGUUUAAUUCGAUGCAACGCGAAGAACCUUACCUGGUCUUGACAUCCCGGAGACCCUUAGGAAACUAGGGGGUGCUUCCAUCUGGAAGAAUCUGGAGACAGGUGCUGCAUGGCUGUCGUCAGCUCGUGUCGUGAGAUGUUGGGUUAAGUCCCGCAACGAGCGCAACCCUUGCCUUUAGUUGCCAGCAGUUCGGCUGGGCACUCUAAAGGGACUGCCGGUGUUAAACCGGAGGAAGGUGGGGAUGACGUCAAGUCCUCAUGGCCUUUAUGACCAGGGCUACACACGUACUACAAUGGCCGAUACAAAGGGCAGCGACACUGCGAGGUGAAGCCAAUCCCGUAAAAUCGGUCUCAGUCCGGAUUGGAGUCUGCAACUCGACUCCAUGAAGUUGGAAUCGCUAGUAAUCGUGGAUCAGCAUGCCACGGUGAAUACGUUCCCGGGCCUU
rnacentral:rRNA from 1 species